CAGAAGACUAUAAAUUACAGAAAGUUAUUGUGUAAAGACAUUCUACAGUGAGAUAAUUAAGGCAUUCAGGCAUAAAGCUGAUAGCACAAAGGAAAAAAAAUUAAAAGGUACAGGACAGGGAGAAAAUCUAUGCUUUUGAUUAAAAUUUGAAAAAGGGGAAUGACUUGAUGAGGUAGAGAGAAAAAGGCAAUCUGUUUCAGAUGGCAGGUUACAGAUGAGAAGGUCUUUACAGCAAGAGUAGUAAGUGUGAAGAAACAGAAAGAAGCCUGGUUCUGGACUGCAAAAGGAGGAACAGAAGAGGGAAGAGAAAUGUGUUGAGCUAGAGAAAAUCUACAGGUUUGGGAAGUAAGAGCAAGAGAAGGCUUCCACCUGCAUCAUGUACUCCAUGGGAAGCUGAGCAAGACUUUGAGAAUUAAAGUAGUUGUGAAGAAAAGAACAGAAGAUGGGGAUAAGGCUGUAAAGGGGCUACUGUGAAAGAGAUGCCAUUCAAAGGUGUACUUGGGGGAUAAUAAUACUCAGAUUUGUGCGCUGGAGAUUGAUUCCUGUCUCAUGCUGUGCUGUUGCACACCAACAACAAAAGGUUGCACAGCCUAUCCUCUCAAAUAUCUUUUCAACCAUGUAGGAAACAAUAUUUUCUUACUGCUCAGAAAGCAUCCUGGAUUGGGGAGAUGGACGAGUAUAGAACUUACUCAUUGCAAAUGUCAGGUGUCAGUGAAAACCAGGCUGUAUCUAGUUUGCAGCUAUGCUGUAGGCAGAACCCUGCUCUCCCAUCAUGCUGUUCCUUCCUCACAUUUUAUGCUGUACUUGUAGUGUGGACUUCUUCUCCAAUGGUGCAGUGAAGUGACUCAAUGAACAUCUGGAUGGAUAAAAUGAUGCUUUUUGUAUUUCUUAAAACAUCACCGAGGAAAGGACUAGAGCUGAGAAGUGGGAUACCUGGAAGAAGAAGGUGCUAUAUUGCAAGAUUCAAGCUUGUUCACCAAGGCAGUGAAAGCUGUCUCCAACAGAUGAAUUCACAGCCAAACAAAGCCUGGAGGUACAAGAAAGAAACUUGAAGUAUUGCAAUUCUGACUGGCAGGGUCAGUUACUAAGUCUUGAUUUGAACAGUUGAGGAAGUUCUGUGAAAAAGGAUCUGGAUCAGAGAAGGUGCCCAUCGUGUAUGUAUGCUGCAGUAGACUGCUUCCUUCUACAAGACCAAGCGUGUGAGUCUCUGUACAUAUAACUAGGACUUCCAGGAAACCUCUCUAACUUGUGCUCUCAUACGGAAGUGACACAUACUCAGGAAAGUACUGCAUUAACACUGCCAGUGGCAUCAGAUGUCCGGUGGGAGACUGGGAGUGCUGCAGGAGAUAAAAAGGCCUGCACCUCUGAAAGCACAGUCCAGCCCAGACUGCUCACACAUAGUGUUGCAUCAUAUAUGCCUCUGGAAUGAGAAAAGACAGAGCUGUGGGAGCUAAACUGUCCCUGGUGACUUUACAAAUUAAGUUGAAUCAGCGAGAAUUAAGCAGAAGGCAAAAUCUGCUUCCAUACUUCAUCUGACCUUUAAAGGAGAUUUACCUUGUGUUUGCCCAGUUUUGUGGCUUGUGUUUACAGAAGCAAGACUGUGUUUAGUGACUUACCUUUAUCUUCCCCUCUUGGACAGGGUAAGUGCUUUCAUAGUGCUAGCCUUGUGCAGUGACCAGUAGUGUAUCUUCUCUUCUGCAAGGAGGAAAAACUUUGUGUGUGCUCUCCGUGUGCAUAAUUGGGUGGCUGGCAAAGGAAGAAGACCAAAUAUUUGCGUGCUUAAAACCAAUGAUGAGGUGAGUCUUAUGUAAUGCUAGCAGGGGUAAUUCAAUGUCUCCCUUCCUUGCAGGAGGAGGUACCACACUUGGCCCAUGCUAGAUUGCUGCUGGUCAUUGAGGUAGCAUAUGUAUUUCUGUGUUGUGCUGGACUGUCUUGUCAAUAUGCAAUUUUCUACUCUGUGUUGCUUCUGCUACCUGUAGUACUCCCUUAAGUAGCUGCAGUUUCAUAACAGUUAGGGUAUGGUUCUCAGAAAAAAGGCGGACAUGUCAAAGAUACAGUGGUUCCCAUAAUAGGUAAAGCACUGCACUAAAUGCUCAUUAAUAAGACACAGCUUGCAAAGUCAUAAUAAUAAUAGAAACAAAAGUGACAAGUCCCGAGUCAGUGUUUUGUGUGCGUAUAUGUUUCAAAUGUAUGCAAGGAAUCCUAUUAGAGCUUUAAAAUCAUUCUGAAGUCUUUGCCUUAGCAAGUUUUUGUACUCAUUUAGACUCCUGGUUUAUCAUUAUGAAGUGUAUUAACUUUCCCAUGUUUAAUGCUUAUUUCUGUCCUGAGAGAAAUAAACAAAUAAUAUUUUGCAAAUGGGUUUCUUGGGAAAAGAGGCUAAGUAGCAGCAGAGUAUCGCUUGCACUUAUAGCUGAUUGCUUUAAAAAGCUGUUCCAGAGUUCAAAAGGUGAAAAAACAGACUUGGUGAACAUGUGCAUUUUACUUAUAUUUGCCUUUUUGCUGAGAACGGGUUUACAGAGCAGUCUUUUGACAGGCAUGAGGCAGUGCCAGUUAUUCAAGUCUUGCACAAAAGAGAAGAAAGCAGUAAGUCGUAUUUGCACAGUAUUUCUGUGAGACUGCUAGCCUCAAGUGUAGGCUGCUCCCUCCUGCUGCUGCUAUAUAUACCUCAUGAAAGUCUGGUUUAAAGUGUAAUGAAGCCAUAGUGGGAAAAUAUGUGUUCCUUUCCCGCAAACGUUUAGAAACAAAUAAGCAUCUUCAUGAAACA